UGUCACAUUUCCACGAAAUCCUCAAAAGGAGGCAAAAGCAAGUGUCAUUGGAUAAGUUCCUUGUUAAAGUUGCAUGAAAAGAAAAAGAUUCCAUUGAGAUAGCAGUGAUUCCCUUAGUGACAGUGAAAAUUGUCCUACACAAUAAUCCUCCUCUCUCUUGUCUCCCUCACACCAGCCACGAAGGUUUUCAAAAGUAAGUGCAGGUUAGGGUACCUGGGUGGCUCAGUUGGUUAAGUGUCCAACUUCGGCUUGGGUCAUGAUCUCGUGGUUCGUGGGUUUGAGCCCCACAUUGGGCUCUAUGCUGACAGUUCAGAACCUAGAACCUACUUCAGAUUCUGUGUCUCCCUCUCUGCCCCUCCCCUAAAAUAAAUAGCCAUUAAAAAAAAAAUUUAAGUGCAUUAAUUUGUUUUUCUUUAUACUGUAUAUUUUCUUUAUUAUUUUGUAUUUUAUUACAGUAUUGUAAUCAUUUUUAUAUGAAUAUUUUUAGGUUGUAGAAUGAAUUAUAUGAGUUUCCAUUAUUUCUUAUGGGGAAAUUUCGCUUCGAUAUACAAGUGCUUUGGAUUACAAGCAUGUUUCUGGAACGAAUUACACUCACAAACCGAGGUUUUACUGUACUUCUAUAAGGCACCUAAAAUAGUCAAAUUCAUAGAGACAGAAAGUAGACUAGUGGUUACCUGGGGCAGGGGAAGAAGGGGCUGGAGAAUUAUUGUUUAACAGCCACAGAAUUUCAGUGUGGGAUGAUGAUAAAGUUCUGGGGAUGGAUGGUGGUAAUGGUUGCACAACAGAGUGAACAUUGUUAAUGCCACUGAACUAUACAUUUAAUGAUGAUAAAUUUUAUGUAUAUUUUUACCACAGUAAAAAUAAAUAUUUUCUUUAAAAGGAAAGUAGUUGAAAUGUGAGUUCUUUGAGGACCAGUAUUACAUCUUAUUCAGCCUAGUACCUCGCAUAUAGUAGAUGCUCUAGAAUAUUUGUUGAGUAAAUAGACAAUUAUCAACUGGUUGCUGUAAACACACUAGUUAUAUAGAGAUUAAUGUAUGUGUUACUUAGAGAAUUAGAGUAAGUAGAAAAUUCAGUAUUUCAAAUUGCCACUCUUAAAAUAUAAUUUAACACUAAUAUUUCUUUUUCUUUUAUUUCCUUUGUGGAGCUUUUGUUUGGUUGGUUGAUUGGUUGGUUUGUGUUUUUUAAUUUUUUUUUUUUUUACAUUUAUUUAUUUUUGAGAGACAGAGAGAGAGCAUGAGAGGAGGAGGGGCAGAGAGAGGGAGACACAGAAUCCGAAGGAGGCUCCAGGCUCUGAGCUGUAAGCACAGAGCCCAACGCGGGGCGCGAACUCACGAAAAAUGAGAUCAUGACCUGAGCCGAAAUCUGACGCUCAAUUGACUGAGCCACCCAGGCGCCCCUAUUGGUUGGUUUGUGGUUUUAAAUAAAAUUGAUGAAAGUUUGUUGGUCACAAUCUUUUUAGGUGAAAUACUGAGAGAUGAAAAGGACUGUUUCUUCCUGGAGAAAUGCAGAUCAUUUAGAUAUUAAUGAAAGUUCUGCAUUCACCUGCUGAAUGAGAGCUUUCACAUAUUUUGGUACUUUUUGCAUAUUUUUGCAAAGAAAGAAAUAUGACCCCCUAAUUAAAAGCUGCUGUAAUCAUUUUAAGAGAUGAAACACAGAGAUCUUAACUAUAUUACAAUAAAGUAUCUACAGAUUAGAAGCCUUGUCAUUCCACUAGAAGUAAAGGAAGUAAUUUCAUAAAGCUACUAGCCUAACAAAUAUUGAAAAUACUCAGAUUUGUUAGUAAAUGUCCUGUAUGAUUACUUUGUGUCAGGCAUUCCUGGGUGAAUGGCAGAAGGUAUACUUACAUGGACAAUUUCAUAAGUGAUUUCAAAUCAAUCUAUAAUCUAGGUCCCUUUCUCUUCUUAAAUAUCCUGUUCCCCAAAUCCAUCUAUCCACUUUUAUCUCUAGCAGCUACGAUUUGCUAUUUACAUAAAGAGACAGUUUAGAUUUGGCUGCUUCCCCUUAUGAUUUAUUUUUACUCCAGUCAUUUUGUAAGAAUAUCUUCAAAUAAGCAAAGAUUUUGAGCCAAGGAUAUUGACAGAUUUAAUUAGCUUUGAUUAUUGCAAGUCCCCCAAGAAAUAAUAAUUGGCCAGUCCUGGCCAAUGACUAAGCAUGGCAGGAGCUUUAUUGAGCAGUGAAACGCAACUGACUGAGCAAUGCAGCUUCAUUGUAGAAAUAUUUGGGACUCCUCUAAUGGGUAGCUUUGGCUUGAGGAUCAUCCAUCAGCCUACCUGAAACCCUCAGAACUGUGCUGCAGUCUGAGAUAAUGCCUACUCAUCCUUUCUUUUCCCUCUCCUUCAUAACUCAGAAUGUGACUGUAUUUGGAUGUAGGUCCUUUAUAAAGGCAAUUAAGAUGUCAGGGUGAACCCUAAUCCAAUCUGACUAGUGUCCUUGUAAGGAGGAAUUUGAACACCCAGAAAGACGCUGAGGGCAUGUGUGCAGAGGAAGUGCAUGUGAGGAUACAGCAAGAAGGUGGCCAUCUACAAUCCAAGGGAGAUGCCUCAGAAGAAACCAAUCCUGCUGAUAUCUUGAUCUUGGACUUCUACACUCCACAACUGUGAGAAAUACAUUUCUGUUGUUUAUGCUAUCCAGUCUGCGGUACUGUAUUUUGUAAUGGCGGCCCUAGCUAUGCCAAAUACCACCUUGGCAGCUGCUCAGAGGGUCCAAACUAACACAAGUGGUACCAAGAGAGGUCCAAAAACAAAAAACAGAAACAAAAGAAAGCUAGAAAAUAAAAUGAAGUUUCAGAACUGGCUCACUCACUAUCUGGUGGGCAAAGACAAUAUUAUCGUGAGUAGUGUACGGACAUGGAUACUUCCCAGCACAAGGUGGUGACCAGGCGCUAAAGAUUUCAUCAGUGGUGGCCUGGGAAAACAUCCCAGUGGAGGAGAAGGAAAAGAAUAUAAUUUCAGGCAUUUGAAAUGCAUGGGGGUCGGGGAGGGCAAUGCCUACAAGGACAAUGGAGUUGGCCGGUUACUGCUAAGUUGUAUAGACACUCAGGCAGGAUAACGAAAAAGCAAAGGUCCCCCUUGAUUAAUAGCCAAGUAUGAGAGACAAGAGGACCUCUUUAGUAACUUACAAAAAGGCUUUUAUCUCUAUAGUGGAAGACCUGACACAGUUAUGCCACAAACUUGGGACAUGAUAGAGGCACAGAGCCCCAAAGACAUUUAAAUAUGUAGCCAAAGCUGGUCAGGGCCCUGGCUGAAAAUGCCUGAACGCCUGAAACAAGGGAUGGGACAUCUGUAUGCACAACCGUAAGGAUCUUAGCUCUGUAGGCCCUCGUGAACUUUGAAAGCUUGCAGAGAUAGUCUACCUCUUCGUAGUAAGAACUAGUACUUCCUCCAUGCUCAAAGACACUACAGAGCCACUCCUUCUCUACUGGCUACUAUGCUAAUAAAUGGAAUCAAAUCCUAGCAUAACCAAGCUGAAAACCUGCCUGACCUAAUAAAGGAGGAAAGAGAUCCUAUACAAAGGAGCUGUAAAAAUUAGCAUAUACAAACAAGUCAGAGGAGUUUUGAGGUUGCUUGAUCAUGGGGGCUGGAAUAUUAGACUAGAUAAUCAAGAAUUCAUUGACAGCACUUUCUUCUCGGGAUUUAACACUGCAUGGACUCUUACGGAGGAUGUAACAAACUCAUGGGAGGGAUGGGCGGGGGAAUCUCUUAGAAACCUAGAGAAAGUGAUGGCCAAUGCUGAGCAAAGUAGAAAUGUCUCAGUUGCCCGGGCAUAUGGUAGAAGAAUGAAUUAAAAGACUGGGGGAAGUGGGCAUGCUGGAAUGGAUAUGUGUGAAGCCAGAAGACCCAUCAGAGGAUUCUGUUUCACAGGAGGGCCCAGAAGAUACACCAUUCACCAAGGCCAUCAGAAAUCCUCUGGUAAGGGACACCACCACCAAGAAGUUCUCUGCAUUCCUGAGCUAACAACAGCAGUCACAGAGUUAGGACCCAUUAAUGAUUAUGGGAAAAAUAUUCCCCUUCCCCAAGUAAUAGAGGCCAGAUAGUGGCACUUAGUCACUAGAAGCCAGAAGGCCACAAUUAAAAAGACCAACAACAUUUGACAAGUGGCAGCCAAGAGGGCUUGACUCACAGGGAGUUGUGGAGAUGGAUGUAGAGCUUGGUAUCUCUAGGGGCAAAAUAGGUGGGAAUCCUAUUAACAUCUACAACCCAAAAAAGGCCAAAACGGAGGAGCAGGAGACUGAGGGUGGUUUCAUCCAGAAAGUCAUCGUCCCUUGUUCAGUAUCCCGAUCUGAGCCACUUUUCAGAUCUGAAACUUGUUGACUUAAGAGGCGGCAGAUCCUGCGGCACUGCAGCAAAUCCUUUAGGCUUGGACUGAAACAUCAGCUCUUCUUGGAUCUCGAACCCGCCAACUUUCAGACUGGAAAUCACGCCAUUGGCUUUCCUUGUUCUCAGGCCGUUGGCUUCAGACUGGGAACUACACAUCAGCUCUCCUGGGUCUCCAGCUUGAUGACUGCAGAUCUUGGGACUUCUUGGCCUCCAUACUCAUAUCCCUGGCUAAUACAGAUCUUGACACCAGCCGUGGAAUGUAGCUGUAACAAAUAACUAAAAAUGUGGAAGCUGCUUUGGAACUGGAUAAUGAGUGGAGUUGGAAAAGUUUUAAAGUCCAUGCUACAAAUAUGGACAUUAAGGACAAUUCUGGUGAGACGUCAGAUGGAAAUGAGGAGGACGUUAAUGGAAAUUGUGGGAAAAGUGACCCUUGUUAUAAAGUGGUGAAUAACUUGGCUGAACUGUGUUCUGUCUUGUGCAAGGUAGAAUUUGUGAGUGAUGAAAUUGGAUAUUUAGCUGAGGAGAUUUCUAAGCAAAGUAUUGAAGGAGGGGCUUGGUUCCUCCUGAUUGCUUAUAGUAAAAUGUGAAAGGAGAGAGAUGAAGAAGGAAUUGUUAAGCAAAAAGGAACCAGAACUUGAUGAUUUAGAGAUUUCUCAGCCUACCCAUAUUGAAAAACAUGAGAAAGCAUGUUCUAAAGAAAAUACCAAUGGCACAACUUGAUUAUCACUUGAUAAAGAGUUUAUGGGAUUAUAUGAGCAGAAAUGCAGCCAAUUUGAACUGAAGGGGAUGAAGAUGGGACCAAACAAAGGAAGGCUGUUGGGCUUAUUGAAUUUGACAAGACAGAAUGAUAGAGCUAUUCAGCUGCACACAUGCACUAUUCUGCAAGAAGAGGGGAAAAUGAUGCCGACAGUGAUUAAGAGAUCAUCAGGGCCACUACAGUACCUCAGUUUCAACAGCCUUUGGUGGGGGACUACCCAACAGGACCUUGGGGGUGAUGCUGCCACCUACUGGACCUGGAGGGCAGAGCAUUGAACCAAGGAGGAUUAUUUUAAAGCCUUAAAAUCUGAUGGACUUUGCCUUGCUAAAUUUUGAGCUUGCUUGGGACCAUCACCCCUUUCUUCUCCCUUUUGUAAUGAGAAUGUCUAUCCUAUUACUAUCCCACUAUUGUAUUUUGAAAGUAUAUAACUUGUCUGAUUUCACAGAUUCACAGCUGGAGAGGAAUUUUGCCUCAGGAUGAAUCAUACCUCCAGUCUCACUCUAUCUGAUUUAGAUGAUAUUCAAAUGAGACUUUAGAUGCUGGAAUAAAUUAAGAGCUUUGGAGAUUUGGGGAUGAAAUGAAUGUAUUUUGUGUGCAAUAAUGAUGUGAAUUUUAGGGGGCCACAGGUGGAAUGUUAUAGACUGAAUGUGUCCCCCUCCAAAUUCAUACAUUGAAGCCCUAAUCCCCAAUAUGAUGACAAAGAGGCACCAGAGAGCUCUCUUUCUCUGCCCUGUAAGGAUACAGUGAGAAGGUAGCUGUCUGCAAGUCAGGAAGAGAGCUUUCACCAGAUCCUGAUUAUGCUGGCAUCUUGAUCUCGGACUUCUGGCCUCUAGAACUGUGAGAAAAUAAAUUUCUGUUGUUUAAGCCA